AACAAACGUAGUUCCGAGUUUUCGUGUUCAAUUUUGAUCAUCUAUUUUAUUUAUUUUUUUAUAAUUAAUAUUUUUUUAUUGUUAUUAGAUUAUAAAGCACGAAUAGUACUUUAUGUGUGACUUAUAUUUUUUUAGUUUUUGAAAAAAAAUUAAAUAAAACGGACGAUUAAAAUUAGACACGAAAAUUCAUGGCUUGCUUAUU
rfam:Oryza glumipatula chromosome 7, whole genome shotgun sequence.